rnacentral:rRNA from 1 species
UAAGGAAUAUUGGUCAAUGGAGGCAACUCUGAACCAGCCAUGCCGCGUGAAGGAUUAAGGCCCUCUGGGUUGUAAACUUCUUUUAUAUGGGAAGAAAUGUUCUGAUUCUUCAGAGCUUGACGGUACCAUAGGAAUAAGCACCGGCUAACUCCGUGCCAGCAGCCGCGGUAAUACGGAGUGUGCAAGCGUUAUCCGGAUUCACUGGGUUUAAAGGGUGCGUAGGUGGGCAGAUAAGUCAGUGGUGAAAUCUUCCGGCUUAACCGGAAAAUUGCCGUUGAUACUAUUUGUCUUGAAUAUUGUGGAGGUAAGCGGAAUAUGUCAUGUAGCGGUGAAAUGCUUAGAUAUGACAUAGAACACCAAUUGCGAAGGCAGCUUACUACACAAUCAUUGACACUGAGGCACGAAAGCGUGGGUAGCGAACA